rnacentral:rRNA from 1 species
AUACGGAGGGUGCAAGCGUUAUUCGGAAUCACUGGGCGUAAAGGGUGCGUAGGCGGUUUGAUAAGUCUGAUGUGAAAUCCUAUGGCUCAACCAUAGAACUGCAUUGGAAACUGUCAGACUAGAAUACUGAAGGGGCAGAUGGAAUUAGUGGUGUAGGGGUAAAAUCCGUAGAUAUCACUAGGAAUACCGAAAGCGAAAGCGAUCUGCUUGGAAGUUAUUGACGCUGAGGCACGAAAGCGUGGGGAGCAAACGGGAUUAGAAACCCUAGUAGUCC